GGAGAUGUACCCAAGUGGUUGAAGGGGCUCGCCUGGAAAGUGAGUAGGUCGUGAAAGCGGCGCGAGAGUUCAAAUCUCUCCAUCUCCG
rnacentral:tRNA from 2 species